rnacentral:rRNA from 1 species
UACGUAGGUGGCGAGCGUUGUCCGGAUUUACUGGGCGUAAAGCGCGCGCAGGCGGUUCUGUAAGUCCUGGGUGAAAUCGCCCGGCUCAACUGGGCGGGGGCCUGGGGGACUGCGGGACUGGAGGGGCCUAGAGGCCGGUGGAACUCCCGGUGUAGCAGUGAAAUGCGUAGAGAUCGGGAGGAACACCAGUGGCGAAGGCGGCCUUCUGGACCAAUACUGACGCUCAUGCACGAAAGCGUGGGGAGCAAACAGG